rnacentral:lncRNA from 1 species
AGAGGACCCAGGGAGCCUCCCACAGGUGUCCUCCUACCCCUGCCACGGGGAGCCCAUCUCCCGCGGACGUGCAACCAGCCCUUAGGGACCCCUGGCACGGGGUCCGGAUGUGACGUGGGCCGACUUCCGCCUCGGAGGUCUGAGGGAGCGGAGGGCCUCGUGUGGGGGGUGCGUUGGGGUCCCCUGGAAGGAGGCCAGGCCCGGGCCGGCGGCAGCCAGGCAGCAGGGACUUCAAGAACUGGCAGCGGAGGCCUCGGUCUGAGGCGCGGGUCCCUCAGGACACAGAGCAGAGGAGGCACGGGCCAGAGCCACUUGUCCAGGUGAGGUGCACGCUCUCUCUGAGCCUGAUGUCGAGGGUUCUACCAGCCCAACAAGGGGAGCCCUCUGCAGGGGAGUCCGGCAUGGCCCCCUGUCAGCCCUGUCCCCUCAGGGUGUCUUGGCCGGGUUGCUCCCUGACAAGCUCUCCCUCCUCUCUCUUCAGGUUCAGCCUGAAUCUGACACCAUGCCCCUAGGGAAGAGCAGCGAGCUUUGGAAGCAGGGAGAAGACCUAUAGGAGGCCCAGGGCCUGGUGGAUGCCCAGCUGUCUGGGGCUGAGGAGGAGGAGGAAGGGGAGGAGGAGGCUCCAACUCCCCCCUCUAUCCCAUCUCCCCCAUACCACCUAUCUCAUCUCUCUCUAUCCUCCUCCUCCUGCUCCUCCUUGUCUU